CAUAGUGUUCUUUUAAUAGUCUCUCUGAUUUCCUUUCUUCGUAUGACAUCAUCUUUCUGUCCAGCGCUGGUCCAGUAGCUCAAAUCCAUCGGUAAAGCAUGGCUUUGUUACAAAAACAGUGAAAAACACUUUUUGUGCUGAGUAACACAUUCCAAGCAAGCAGCCUUUGUGUGUGUGUGUGUGUGUGUGUGUGUGUGUGUGUGUGUGUGUGUGUGUGUGGGUGUGUGUGUUACAAACACACAGUCUGCGGUGGAGGCUGUUUACAUAUGGGCAAGAUUCUCAGCAGGAUUCGGUGCAGAACUAUUAAUUAAAUUUUUGUUUGUGAUGUUGAGCGGUCAGACUGAUGGGCGGAGUCUUGCGAUGGCCACGCCUCUCUUCAAAAACACAGCCACACUUCACUUAAAGCUCUCUGCCUCCACUGUGCUGAUCACUUCAUGGUAAGCUUGCAUUGUGUCUUUCAUUUUCAUGACUAAUAUCAACAGUGGAUUAAUGGUUUUACUCAGUUUUGCCUUUUGAAAUUUGAGAUGCUUUCACCUUGAGGUAAAGUUAAUGUAAAAAAAAAAAAGUACUGUAUGAAAUAAUUAAUUCGGCUAUGAUUCUUCACUGCUACUAAAACAAAAGCAAUAAGUGUGUUUAUGACCGGUUAAAGGAUUACAAGAUGGAUUUCUUGACUUGUGGAGAGAAGGACCCACUGUAUGCCAAAUACAGCACUUUUCCCGGAUGGCAUUCUUCACACAUAUAUCAGCACAAACCUUCUACAACCACUUACCUGCAACACCUGUCGGAGUACAUUGACUCAACUGGUGAGCCAAAAACUUGGGUGGCAUCAGGUACCAGAACUACCCGGGAUAUUUAUGACUUUAACAAGCAGACUGAAAUCGCAAAUUUUCAUUCACACACCAAGUUAUCUCACAGAGAAUUAACUGAUUACAUUGGGGAAGUGAGAAAUCCUGUACCAAUACAAAAACAGAGAUCAGAUGAGGGGAGGUAUGCAGAAAGAGACUCAUAUGCACAGCACAAAGGGUGGGAAAACACAUGGCCAUUAAACUACAGAGAAAUAAGAGAAAACUUUGGAACAGACAGUCAUAAUGAGAUGCAAGCUUAUGCCGACUGCUAUCAUCAUACGCUUUCCAAAAAACCACCUCGCUUUGAGGUUGGGGAGUGGAGGUCAUCUAGGUGUGCUUCAGACAUGGAGAAGGUGUUGGGAUAUGGCCAGUGGACUGCUAGUCCAGACACAACUGAACAAUUCCAGCCAAAUGCUUUAACGUCACAGAAAAAAGACAUAACUGAGCUCAUUGGGGAACAUCGGUGGAAAAGGAGCCCUUGGAAUUUGAGAAAUACAGAGAGUGUUUUCCCAGUAGGAUCUUUCAGACAGCCUCCAUCCUACAUGGCACCACCAGCAUACAGCUCCCCGAAGAAUGGUGACAAGAUAGCAGCAAUACCAAAAGUUACUGCAGAGGCAAGUGUGGAAGCAUUUGAGGAGCAGACAUUUGAGAGCAGAAAAGUACCCUUUACAGAUUUGACAGAAACACAUUGUGAUCCUUCAUCAAACAAUGGACAUUAUUUAGAAAAAAAUAACCAGAAACAGAACACAGAGAGUUACCAUAGUGUUAUCACCGGUGGACAACACUGUCUAGAAGCCUUAAAUGCAUCCACUGUCAUGCAGUACACAACAAUAAACACAAAACCACCUUCAACUCAAGCACAGCUUCAGUACAGAGAGUCUCCACACAUGACCCAACCUGAUAUUACUCAGACGAAGCAGACCAAACUCACGAGAAGAAAGGGUGGUGAGACUGUGUUUUGUCUAGUCUCUCGAAUGGGAGAGGUGUCAGGCUUGUCAAGUUCUCCAGAGGAGCCACUUAAAUCCCACGUGUUACCCCUGUUAACUGAUUGCAAACCCGAUUACAAGCCAAUCACCACCGAGCAGACAAAUUCACCUCAGCACAAUGAUGUCAACAGAGAAAAUCAGGAUGCAGGCUUGAAGAAGGACGAAGCUGUUGGGCAGCUCGACGGAUCCUUAAUGUUUGGAGAGUAUGGUCACACACCCCUAGAUCAAAGAUCCAGUUCUAUCCAGGAUCUGGGUAGUGCAAUAGAACCAGAUGAAGAAAAAGAAGAGUUGCAAUGUUAUGUCCAAGGGAACGACUCAGAGUCAAACUGUUUAGCCCAGAAGUCACCAAUGCAGACACAUGGACAUGAGAAACCAUGCAGGGAAAUCAUAGAGAAAUUCCCAUUGUGGAAAGAGCCAAAACAUCAGCAUCACUCAACAGGGAUGACAGAGCAAAAAAGCCAGGGGAUAAAUGAUGAGUCUAAAGUUAGCAACGACUCAACAAACGACCAGCAGAGUCUUGUGGUCAUUGACGCAACCUGUGUUGUUGUCAAGGUUGAGCUUGUACUUCUUCCAGAGAAGGAGCAUGUCCAGUAUGUGUGUUUGACAGAUGAGAGUCCUUCGCCAAGUACUAGAGAGGAGACCGAGGUGCAGAAGCAGCACAGCAGUGUCGUCUCAAGCCAGGAGACUCCUGAAAACAAUACUUUGGAAGAGAGAGUAGAAAUUAUUCUUGGAAUUCCACAUGAGCAUCCCAGGACAAGUGUACAGACACACGAGAGCAUUUCAGAAGAACAUGACAGCUCCUGUGAAAGUCACAUCGUGGAUCCAGUAAAAGAGUUUGAGGAAUCUCCAUCUGCAGCUGCAACUGUUGAUGACUGGCAAGCGCAGGAAAAUAAACUGAUGGUGGAACAUUCCUGGAGUGGGACAACAUUGGAGAAUAAUGAAGGCGUAGAGGAAGUGCUCAGCAUAAUGGAAGUGGAAAAGCAAACCACUGCACAAGAACCCGAAGCUGUUCUCAAAGACUUUGUGGCUUUCACAAAUGCAAAAUCCACAUCUGAAAUCCAACCUGAAAAGACAACCAUAGAUAUGAAUCAAUCCACAGAACAAGGACAUAGACCUGCGUUGGACGACAGUGUGGUUGAGCACAGUACACAGAAAGAUAAUGAGAACCAUCAAACAGAUACUACUAUGGACCAUACAGAGGAUAGUUCAACAGAAGACAACCUCUCAGAUGAUAAGCGAGUACUUGCUUCAGAUUUCUUUACACCUGUCCUUAGGAAAAGUGCAGAAAAUUGCGUCAAAGUUGUUUUACCUUCACCUGUGGGUUCCAGGACUCUCAGAAGGUCAAGCUCUUCACCUCAUUUGUCAUUUACCUCAGCUUCCAACACCUUGGAAGUAACAAAUGUAUCAGCUACUCCUGUGGUUUCUCACGCAGAGAAUGAGCCACUGUUGCUUCCAUCUGUUACCAACACAGAAACCACCCAGUCCUCAGGUUCUCCCAGUGUUCAGUCAAGCUGUACAUCCUCACUCCCCGCUCCUUCUUCUACUCCAGUUCCAGAAGCUUUUGAAAAUCCAUCUCUCCCACAGACAAGAAAUACUCCUUCUGAUGAUUUACUCUGUACUUCAUUGCCCUGUGAGCAAAAAAUACAACAUGCCAAGUCUCUGUGGGACGCGGUAAGUCGUAUACGCAAACACACUGCUCCUGACUCUGAGACAGAGGAAGAGGAGACGGUUGAGUUUGGGGAACAAACUGAAAGUGCAGACACUGACUUGCUUUAUCAGAGACUGAACACAAAAGAAGGAGAAGAAUUGGAGGAUAAUACUUUAGAGAACUGA
ensembl:lncRNA